UACUGAUGAUGUUGCUUCCCUGGUAACAUGCAGAGAACCAUCCAAUGUAAGACCCCCUUUCAGGGACCCCCACUCUAGUCUCGGGAGAGAGAGUGCACCCAAGAAACACAAGAAUCC
rnacentral:pre_miRNA from 7 species